GACGAACGCUGGCGGCGUGCUUAACACAUGCAAGUCGAACGAAGAGCGAUGGAAGCUUGCUUCUAUCAAUCUUAGUGGCGAACGGGUGAGUAACGCGUAAUCAACCUGCCCUUCAGAGGGGGACAACAGUUGGAAACGACUGCUAAUACCGCAUACGUUCUAAUCUCGGCAUCGAGGAUAGAUGAAAGGUGGCCUCUACAUGUAAGCUAUCACUGAAGGAGGGGAUUGCGUCUGAUUAGCUAGUUGGGGGGGUAACGGCCCACCAAGGCGAUGAUCAGUAGCCGGUCUGAGAGGAUGAACGGCCACAGUGGGACUGAGACACGGCCCAGACUCCUACGGGAGGCAGCAGUGGGGAAUCUUCCGCAAUGGACGAAAGUCUGACGGAGCAACGCCGCGUGAGUGAUGACGGCCUUCGGGUUGUAAAGCUCUGUUAAUCGGGACGAAAGGCCUUCUUGCGAAUAGUGAGAAGGAUUGACGGUACCGGAAUAGAAAGCCACGGCUAACUACGUG
rnacentral:rRNA from 1 species